UACGUAGGGGGCGAGCGUUGUCCGGAGUUACUGGGCGUAAAGCGCUUGUAGGCGGUCCACCAAGUUUGGGGUGACAGUUGCCGACUUAAUCGGCAAAGUGCCUCAAAGACUGGCGGACUUGAGGGCCACAGAGGGACAUGGAACUCCAGGUGUAGUGGUGAAAUGCGUAGAUAUCUAGAAGAACACCAAAGGCGAAGGCAGUGUCCUGGGUGGUCGCUGACGCUGAGAGGCGAAAGCCAGGGGAGCGAACGGG
rnacentral:rRNA from 1 species